GCCAAGUGGCGCAUACUUAAUCGCUUGCACGAUAGAAAUGAGACUUUGUACUACAAGGUUCUAAUGGAAAAUAUUGAGGAAUAUGCACCCAUAGUGUAUACUCCUACAGUUGGUCUUGUUUGCCAGAAGUACAGUGGAUUGUUCAGACGUCCGAGGGGCAUGUACUUCAGUGCCGAAGAUCGUGGGGAAAUGAUGUCAAUGGUUUACAACUGGCCAGCUGAUCAGGUUGACAUGAUUGUUGUAACUGAUGGAAGUAGAAUAUUGGGUCUUGGAGAUCUCGGAGUUCAGGGAAUUGGUAUUGCAAUUGGGAAGCUGGAUUUGUAUGUGGCUGCUGCUGGGAUCAACCCUCAAAGAGUAUUGCCUGUAAUGAUUGAUGUUGGAACUGACAACGAGAAUCUCUUGAAAGACCCUUUAUAUUUGGGACUGCAAGAGCAUCGGCUUGACGGAGAGAAGUAUAUUGAAGUAAUUGAUGAAUUUAUGGAGGCUGUUUUUACUCGUUGGCCCCAUGUGAUUGUGCAGUUUGAAGAUUUUCAAAGCAAGUGGGCCUUUAAGCUGUUGCAGCGUUAUAGAAACAACUACAGAAUGUUUAAUGAUGAUGUCCAGGGAACUGCAGGAGUUGCUAUUGCUGGUCUUCUGGGAGCAGUAAGAGCACAGGGAAGGCCAAUGAUUGAUUUUCCAAAAAUGAAGAUUGUGGUGGCGGGUGCUGGAAGUGCAGGAAUAGGGGUUCUUAAUGCUGCUAGGAAGACAAUGGCAAGAAUGUUAGGGAAUACUGAAGUUGCUUUUGAAAGUGCAAGAAGUCAGUUCUGGGUGGUUGAUGCCAAGGGAUUAAUUACUGAGGCACGUGAAAAUGUUGAUCCUGAUGCUCGCCCGUUUGCCAGAAAGAUCAAAGAGAUUGAACGUCAAGGUCUAAGUGAAGGCGCAACUCUUGCGGAAGUGGUACGCGAAGUGAAGCCAGAUGUACUUCUUGGU
rnacentral:misc_RNA from 1 species